rnacentral:tRNA from 1 species
GGGGCCGUGGGUUAGCUUGGUCUAUACUCUUUGGUUCGGGACCAAGGGACUCCAGUUCAAAUCUGGACGGCCCCACCA